AUUGAACGCUGGCGGGAUGCUUUACACAUGCAAGUCGAACGAGUGGCGGACGGGUGAGUAAUAUAUGGGAACGUGCCCAAUGGCGGGGGAUAACUACUGGCAAGGGUAGCUAAUACCGCAUACCCUCGGAUCUGCCCAUAUUGGAUUCGCUAGUUGGUGGGGUAACGGCUCACCUAGGCCACGAUCCCUAGCUGGUUUGAGAGGACGACCAGCCACACUGGGACUGAGACACGGUCCAGACUCCUACGGGAGGCAGCAGUGGGGAAUAUUGGACAAUGGGAGUAAGCCUGAUGCAGCCAUGCCGCGUGUAUGAAGAAGGCCUUCGGGUUGUAAAGUACUUUCGGCAGAGAGGCGUUACAUGCAGAAGAAGCACCGGCUAACUCCGUGCCAGCAGCCGCGGUAAUUC
rnacentral:rRNA from 1 species